GUAGGUGGCAAGCGUUGUCCGGAAUUAUUGGGCGUAAAGCGCGCGCAGGCGGUUCUUUAAGUCUGAUGUGAAAGCCCACGGCUCAACCGUGGAGGGUCAUUGGAAACUGGAGAACUUGAGUACAGAAGAGGAAAGCGGAAUUCCACGUGUAGCGGUGAAAUGCGUAGAGAUGUGGAGGAACACCAGUGGCGAAGGCGGCUUUCUGGUCUGUAACUGACGCUGAGGCGCGAAAGCGUGGGGAGCAAACAGGAUUAGAUACCCUGGUAGUCCACGCCGUAAACGAUGAGUGCUAAGUGUUAGGGGGGUUUCCGCCCCCCUUAGUGCUGCAGCUAACGCAUCAAGCACUCCGCCUGGGAGUACGGCCGCAAGGCUG
rnacentral:rRNA from 1 species